rnacentral:lncRNA from 1 species
GGGCAGACACACUGAAGUCGCUAGACAUUUGAGGAACACAUCCGGGGAAGAAGACACAGGUGGCUGGUCAUGGAGAGCCCGCUGGGGGAAGAGCACACAGACAGGCACCGGCAGGCCAUUGACCAGCGGGACAAGGUGGGCUCAAUGUCAUCACAAGGGUGCUUAAGAGGGAAAGAGGAAGCCAUGAGGGUCAGAGUCAAAGGAAGACUUGAAGAUACUACACUGCGGACUUUAAAGAUGAAGGAAGGGGCGAAAACCAAGAAUGUGGGAAGCCUCUAGAAGCUAGAGAAGGCAAGGAAACAAAUUUUCCACUAGAGCCUCCAGAAGGAACACAGCCCUGCUGACCCACUGUAAUGUCUGACCUCUAGAUGUGUAAGGGUAGUAAGACUGAAAGUCUCAGAAAGGCACUGUUAAAUUCUUAUUCCUCAACUAUGCAACUCAAAACUGGGGUCCUCAGCAGUGAGCGAGGGGUGAGAGAAGACACUGUAUAAACAUGGCACAUCCUCCUGGAAAGUCAACUUUACUCAAAGGUUCUUACACACAGUGACAGCUAGCAGAGUCUAAAAUGCUGACAUUAUGACUUAGAGAUGUGAUAAAGAGAAACAUCUAUUGCAUUUUCUUGGCUCGUGUGGAAUGACUUAUCCUGGAAUUUAGAGUUGAAGAUAAUCCUGAUGCUUCAAAGAGAAGAGUUGGAACACAGUCCUUUUUUCUAAACAGAGGAAUUGUUGAAUAUGCGACUGAACCUCUGACUUAACUAAUUAGUUAAUUUGGAGCAGAGUUUGAACACAGUCCUUUUUCUAAACAGAGGAAUUGUUGAAUAUGCAACUGGUCCUCUGACUUAACUAAUUAUUUAAUUUGGAAGUUAUAGGUUUUUUAUUACUUGAGGAGCAGCUUUCUCUGAACAAAUACAGUGUCCCCUGGGGUGUCCAAAUUGUGACAGAAAAGUAGCGCCAGCUUGAAACUAGCUAGUCAUCACAUAGUGGCAUCAUGUGAAUGAAGAAUCCCCCAAAUCUGUGACCCUCUUCUAUCCUUAUGAACUAAUUCAAUAAAUAAAUGAGCACUUUCUCAGUUCCCAAACUGAGAGCAGUUUAAAAAAAUAAUGAGAGCACAGAUAUCUAUUUAGAGAGAUGGCGAGAUAGAGGAGAGAGCAAGUUGCACACCACGAAACAAAGGGAAAGAUAAGAAGAGAGAGUGUGUCACUACUUCCCCGUGGCAGAAUCACAAUCUUUUUUGGAUGUCAUGUUGAAAAGAUUCCCAAUUCGUAGUUCUGUGAGCUAAAGCAGAUGGAUGCUCCAUGUUGGUACAAAUUCCUAUUUGAAGCAGUGUGGUUGCAAAGAUGGGGUUUGGGUCAUUUGAUUUUCUCCGAAAAACAAUCUUGUGUAACUGUUAAAAGAAUUUAUAAUACCCAAUGCAAUGUAUCAUCCGUGAUGCUUCUUCAAAAAUGUUAAAUAAAUGCUGAAACCAGUGUUUCAA